GAUGCCAACCUCGUUCCCAGGGCUUUUCCCUUUUUGUGCCUUUCCAAUGACAAAAAGGGAAAAGCCCUGGGAACGAGGCUGUA